ACAGCACAGAACUAAAGGAAUAACUGACAGCAAGAUAAGAUUGUCAUCCUCUGUUUGGACCAGCCACUAACAGGACUACGUUAACAUGAAAUAGAAGAGCUGGAACCUUCCCCCAGAUUUCAGUGGAUGUCUGGAUUUGGGGAAGAGGUCCAGACUUGAGGGCAAUCUACCCUUUCCUUUCCCUGUUGAAAUGCCACUAUGGUAAUAGCCUCACUGACAGACAUGGCGGGCUCUUCCCAUGAAAAUGAACAUCAUCAGGUUGGACAUUCCCACUGGAUUCUCUAUCUGAUUCCAUAGAAGGCUG